AUUGAACGCUGGCGGCAGGCCUAACACAUGCAAGUCGAGCGGGGUUUUCGAACCUAGCGGCGGACGGGUGAGUAAUGCGUAGGAAGCUACCCGAUAGAGGGGGAUACCAGUUGGAAACGACUGUUAAUACCGCAUAAUGUCUACGGACCAAAGUGUGGGACCUUCGGGCCACAUGCUAUCGGAUGUGCCUACGUGGGAUUAGCUAGUUGGUGAGGUAAUGGCUCACCAAGGCGACGAUCCCUAGCUGGUUUGAGAGGAUGAUCAGCCACACUGGAACUGAGACACGGUCCAGACUCCUACGGGAGGCAGCAGUGGGGAAUAUUGGACAAUGGGCGCAAGCCUGAUCCAGCCAUGCCGCGUGUGUGAAGAAGGCCUUCGGGUUGUAAGGCACUUUCAGUAAGGAGGAAGCGUUGAGUGUUAAUAGUACUCAGCGUUGACGUUACUUACAGAAGAAGCACCGGCUAACUCUGUGCCAGCCGCCGCAGUAAGAC
rnacentral:rRNA from 1 species